GCGUACCAUUAGCUAGUUGGUGGGGUAAGAGCCUACCAAGGCGACGAUGGUUAGCUGGUCUGAGAGGAUGAUCAGCCACACUGGAACUGGAACACGGUCCAGACUCCUACGGGAGGCAGCAGUGAGGAAUUUUGCGCAAUGGGGGAAACCCUGACGCAGCAACGCCGCGUGAGUGAUGAAGGCUUUCGGGUCGUAAAGCUCUGUCGAUCGGGAAGAAGGUGAGCCAACAGAACAUGUUGGUUUAUUGACGGUACCGUUGAAGGAAGCACCGGCUAACUCCGUGCCAGCAGCCGCGGUAAUACGGGGGGUGCAAGCGUUAUUCGGAAUUAUUGGGCGUAAAGGGCGCGUAGGCGGUUUUAUAAGUCAGAUGUGAAAUACCUGGGCUUAACCGAGGAAGUGCAUUUGAACCUAUAAGACUUGAGUAUGGGAGAGGGUAGUGGAAUUCCUGGUGUAGAGGUGAAAUUCGUAGAUAUCAGGAGGAACACCUGUGGCGAAAGCGGCUACCUGGACCAAUACUGACGCUGAGGCGCGAAGGCGUGGGGAGCAAACAGGAUUAGAUACCCUGGUAGUCCACGCAGUAAACGGUGAUCACUAGGUGUAGCGGGUAUUGACCCCUGCUGUGCCGCAGUUAACACAUUAA
rnacentral:rRNA from 1 species